rnacentral:rRNA from 1 species
UACGUAGGUGGCAAGCGUUGUCCGGAUUUACUGGGCGUAAAGAGCGCGCAGGCGGUCGUUCAAGUCGCGUGUGAAAGCCCCCGGCUCAACUGGGGAGGGUCACGCGAUACUGAUCGACUCGAAGGCAGGAGAGGGUAGUGGAAUUCCCGGUGUAGUGGUGAAAUGCGUAGAUAUCGGAAGGAACACCUGUGGCGAAAGCGGCUCACUGGACCAUAACUGACGCUGAGGCGCGAAAGCUAGGGGAGCAAACAGG